AUGCCCUUCACUGCGGAAUAGCCUUUGGAAACGAAGAGUAAUACCGCAUACGCCCUUUGGGGAAAGAUUUAUCGGUGAAGGAUUAGCCCGCGUUAGAUUAGCUAGUUGGUGGGGUAACGGCCUACCAAGGCUACGAUCUAUAGCUGGUUUGAGAGGAUGAUCAGCCACACUGGGACUGAGACACGGCCCAGACUCCUACGGGAGGCAGCAGUAGGGAAUCUUAGACAAUGGGGGCAACCCUGAUCUAGCCAUGCCGCGUGUGUGAUGAAGGCCUUAGGGUUGUAAAGCACUUUCGCCAGGGAUGAUAAUGACAGUACCUGGUAAAGAAACCCCGGCUAACUCCGUGCCAGCAGCCGCGGUAAUACGGAGGGGGUUAGCGUUGUUCGGAAUUACUGGGCGUAAAGCGCGCGUAGGGGACCAGAAAGUUGGGGGUGAAAUCCCGGGGCCCAACCCCGAACUGCCUCCAAAACUCCUGGUCUAGAGUUCGAGAG
rnacentral:rRNA from 1 species